rnacentral:RNase_P_RNA from 1 species
GGAGCCGGCCAGGCAAUCGCUCGGGCCGAUGUUUCGGCAUCGGUUUCGGGAGGAAAGUCCGGGCUCCGGCGGACAGGGUGCCAGGUAAUACCUGGGGGGCGCGAGCCUACGGAAAGUGCCACAGAAAAUAUACCGCCCGAAUCGGCAACGGUUCUGGUAAGGGUGAAAUGGUGCGGUAAGAGCGCACCGCGCGGCUGGUAACACGCCGCGGCACGGCAAACCCCACCUGGAGCAAGACCAAAUAGGGGAGUGUCUGCGCACUUCAUGUGCGUAGAACCGGCGUCCCACGGACUCCCGGGUAGGUCGCUUGAGGCCGCUGGUGACAGCGAUCCCAGAUGAAUGAUUGUCCACGACAGAACCCGGCUUAUCGGCCGGCUCCUUAA